UGGGGAAUAUUGGACAAUGGGCGCAAGCCUGAUCCAGCCAUGCCGCGUGAGUGAUGAAGGCCCUAGGGUUGUAAAGCUCUUUCACCGGUGAAGAUAAUGACGGUAACCGGAGAAGAAGCCCCGGCUAACUUCGUUCCAGCAGCCGCGGUAAUACGAAGGGGGCUAGCGUUGUUCGGAUUUACUGGGCGUAAAGCGCACGUAGGCGGACUUUUAAGUCAGGGGUGAAAUCCCGGGGCUCAACCCCGGAACUGCCUUUGAUACUGGAAGUCUUGAGUAUGGUAGAGGUGAGUGGAAUUCCGAGUGUAGAGGUGAAAUUCGUAGAUAUUCGGAGGAACACCAGUGGGGAAGGCGGCUCACUGGACCAUUACUGACGCUGAGGUGCGAAAGCGUGGGGAGCAAAAAGG
rnacentral:rRNA from 1 species